GCCACCUGGUCCCUUGCUGGGCAGCAGGAAGAAGGUCGUCAGGGUGCGAAGGAAGCACAGGAGGCAGCUCAGAGCCCAGCCAGCCGCAGCCCUCGGGGGAGACUGUUGUGGACCCAGAAGAGUGGGCAGCUGGCUCGGGGCGGAGCAGCCAGCCGUGGAGAGGGAGGCGGAGAGGCUGCAUUCUUCACAGCGCCCUGCCUGCGAGGCCAGGCCAAAAGGCUGCUGGAAAUGUAUAAGAACGCUAGGACACGAUCCUACUUCAUCUCAGAUCUGCUUUGGGUUUCAAGAGGGGGAAACCUUAAGCCACAAGGAUUGAGAUCCCCAGUCACUGACUGGAGUCACCCUGAAUAUGGACAUUGGACCACAACCUCUGGACUAUUUCUAAAAGGACUUUUGGCAACUACAAGCUCAUCUCUACUAUGUAUCUGAACCUCAAGAAUUGAAUUCAAGUCUGUCUGUAUAUUGAUCUUUUAA